UCCCUUUUGGCCUAGUGGUCAGGAUUUGGCUCUCUCACCACCGUGGCCUGGGUUCCAUUCCCUGUGAGGGAA